CCAAUCGAACCCGGAGAUAGCUGGUUCUCCUCGAAAUAGCUUUAGGGCUAGCCUCGCAUUAGUUUACCGGAGGUAGAGCACUGAAUGGUCUAGGGGGCCUCACCGCCUACCGAAACCUAUCAAACUGCGAAUGCCGGAUAAAUGAUGUGCGGGAGUCAGGCCGCGAGAGAUAAGUUCCGCGGUCAAAAGGGGAACACCCCAGAUCGUCUGCUAAGGUCCCCAAGUACGCGUUAAGUGGGAAAGGAUGUUGGAUUGCACAGACAACCAGGAUGUUGGCUUAGAAGCAGCCACACAUUCAAAGAGUGCGUAAUAGCUCACUGGUCGAGUGAUCCAGCGCCGAAAAUGUAACGGGGCUAAAACGCGACACCGAAGCAGCGGGAUGCGUAAGCAUCGGUAGAGGAGCAUUGUGUGAGGGUUGAAGCCAGAGCGGGAGCACUGGUGGACUUCACAGAAGAGAGAAUGCCGGUAUGAGUAGCGAGACCCAUGCGAGAAACAUGGGCGUCGAAGGCCCAAGGUUUCCUGGGGAAGGUUCAUCCACCCAGGGUAAGUCGGGACCUAAGCCGAGGACUGAGGUCGUAGGCGAUGGACAGCAGGUAGAGAUUCCUGCACCACUUACACUUGCUUGACGAAGCAGUGACACAGAAGGAUAGGACGAGCGCGGUGAUGGUCAACCGCGUAGGCGGCACGAGGCUGGGAAGCAGUUAAGCACACUUCCCGCGACGGCUGAGUGCUGACAGGACCGAAAAAGAGUAGGGAAGCGUCUGAGUUCACGCUGGCGAGAAAAGCUGCUAAGGAGAGUGUGAGUGCCCGUACCGGAAACCGACGCAGGUGGGCGAGGAGAGAAUCCUGAGACGGACGGGAGAACUCUUGUUAAGGAACUCGGCAAAAUGACCCCGUAACUUCGGGAGAAGGGGUGCCUCGAAAGAGGCCGCAGAGAAUAGUCACAAGCGACUGUUUAGCAAAAACACAGGUAUCUGCGAAAGCGAGAGCUGACGUAUAGGUGCUGACGCCUGCCCGGUGCUGGAAGGUUAAGGGGAAGUGUUAGGGGAAACCCGAAGCAGAGAACCGAAGCCCCAGUAAACGGCGGCCGUAACUAUAACGGUCCUAAGGUAGCGAAAUUCCUUGUCGGGUAAGUUCCGACCCGCACGAAUGGCGUAACGACUUGUGAGCUGUCUCAACAGGAGGCCCGGUGAAAUUGAAGUAUGUGUGAAGAUGCACAUUACCCGCGACUGGACGGAAAGACCCCGUAGAGCUUUACUGUAACCUGACAUUGGAUCUUGAUAACGGAUGCACAGGAUAGGUGGGACGCUGGGAGACGAGGACUUUGGUUUUCGUGGAGCGGCCGUUGGGAUACCACUCUUCUGUUAUUGAGAUUCUAACCUCAAGCCGUGAGCCGGAUGAGAGACAGUGUCAGGCGGACAGUUUGACUGGGGCGGUCGCCUCCGAAAGAGUAACGGAGGCGCCCAAAGGUACCCUCAGAAUGGAUGGAAACCAUUCGAAGAGAGCAAAGUCAGAAGGGUGCUUGACUGCGAGACCAACAAGUCGAGCAGGUACGAAAGUAGGGCUUAGUGAUCCGGCGGUAAGAGAGUGGAAUUGCCGUCGCUCAACGGAUAAAAGCUACCUCGGGGAUAACAGGCUGAUCUCCCCCAAGAGUUCACAUCGACGGGGAGGUUUGGCAC
rnacentral:rRNA from 1 species